CCUCCUUUUCUUGGCGGGGCCCGGGUGUGUAGUCCCGUACCCCGUUAUGUGCGGAGGUAGAGGGAAAGGGCUCUGGCCCACUCGGCGUCAUGUCUUCGGUGCCGGCGGCUUCCCGUCUGCCGGUCCUAUCCUCAAACGCCGGGACACUG
rnacentral:snoRNA from 13 species